UACGUAGGGUCCAAGCGUUGUCCGGAAUUAUUGGGCGUAAAGAGCUCGUAGGCGGUCCGUUAAGUCGGAAGUGAAAUCUCAAGGCUCAACCUUGAAAUCGCUUUCGAUACUGGCGGACUUGAGGCAGGUAGGGGAAGGUGGAAUUCCUGGUGUAGCGGUGAAAUGCGCAGAUAUCAGGAGGAACACCGGUGGCGAAGGCGGCUUGCUGGGCCUUACCUGACGCUGAGGAGCGAAAGCGUGGGGAGCGAACAGG
rnacentral:rRNA from 1 species